CCUACGGGAGGCAGCAGUGGGGAAUUUUGGACAAUGGGCGAAAGCCUGAUCCAGCAAUGCCGCGUGAGUGAAGAAGGCCUUCGGGUUGUAAAGCUCUUUUGUCAGGGAAGAAACGGUGAAAGCUAAUAUCUUUUGCUAAUGACGGUACCUGAAGAAUAAGCACCGGCUAACUACGUGCCAGCAGCCGCGGUAAUACGUAGGGUGCAAGCGUUAAUCGGAAUUACUGGGCGUAAAGCGUGCGCAGGCGGUUUUGUAAGUCUGAUGUGAAAUCCCCGGGCUCAACCUGGGAAUUGCAUUGGAGACUGCAAGGCUAGAAUCUGGCAGAGGGGGGUAGAAUUCCACGUGUAGCAGUGAAAUGCGUAGAUAUGUGGAGGAACACCGAUGGCGAAGGCAGCCCCCUGGGUCAAGAUUGACGCUCAUGCACGAAAGCGUGGGGAGCAAACAGGAUUAGAUACCCUGGUAGUCCACGCCCUAAACGNUGUCUACUAGUUGUCGGUUCUUAUUGACUUGGUACGNAGCGUACGCGUGAGUAGACCGCCGUCGGGUAAGGUACGGUCGUUCGAGUAGUUAAACGUUACGAAGAGUUAGUUAGCGNGAGAGAGCGACGACGACGACGACGGAGGAGGAGG
rnacentral:rRNA from 1 species